GGUGAAGUGCUACUGCGGAGAGGCUAGGCACCUGUGGUGAGGGCCCUUCACUGAAAUGCAUUAAUACACUGCUGUGUCCUCUGUCUUCAGAUGGUUCAUCUGUAGAUACAGCUUACUGCUGGAGUCAUCUCUGGAGAUGGUGAAUCUACCCUGGACUGACUGGGAGUAGUAGAUAGGAGUACUAGCUGUGCUUAUAAAAGCGAUCCACUCCAGGCCUUUCCCAGGAGCCUGUCUGACCCAGACCAUCUCGUAGCUGCUGAAUGUGAAUCCAGAGGCUGUACAGCUUAAGAGGAAACAUCAAAUCAGGAUCUGAGAAAAGUUGAUCUUCACCUGCCCAGCAGAGAGUUAAAAGCAGCAGUCCUGUCCUAUAGUCCAUCAUGUCAAAUUGUGUGUCCACUGUCCUCUGUCAGCUUCUCUGCAGUCAGAUAAGUAGAGGUGGAAGACAACUGAGUUUUGCAUUGACUCCUCCUCACAGGGAGGACACAAGUGGACUGGAGUUUGCCAUAUUAGACCGUUUGUUUCUUGAAUCCAGACAUUUAUUAUGUUCAUUGACAGUUGUGACUUGAGCCAAGUUAACUUAAAUUUUACUGAAGUUGCUUUUCCUUCAUGCUGUCUGAUCCAACCUGUUGCAUAGCUGCCAUCAAAGAAUAACCACAGACUGUGAUGUAUUUGACUUCUAGUUCUUAUAAAUGCAGAAAUUACUAAGAAAUUGUCAGUCUCUAAUAAUUUGUCUACAAUGUGUAGCUCUGGGAGUUCACUCUUUGAAGAUUAUUUUUGUUGAAUUUCUAAAGCUACAUCACUGAGAAAGUAACAGGAUUCAUAACAUGAUUUAUACACUGUUGCCCUUAAAGUUGGAAUAAAAUAUUUUACCUCUUCUCAUGAAAUGAUUGUGACAAUGUGGUUUAUUCUUCAUAGAUGGUGUAUAUCUUAAAACUUUAUUGAUCAAUCUCUUC